GGGAGCUGCUUUUUUCUGCCACAGUGUCAGUUGUCAUGCCCUAGCGGAGUGCCCGAGGGGAGGGGCAGGAGGCCCCUUGGAUGGGCUGGCACUGCGCCCCUGCUGCUGUCAGAGUGACUCAGAUCCCCUCCUGGCACCAGCCUGCUCAGGCAGUGCAAGCUGUUCCUUUGGCUCCUGGAGACUGGGCUGGUUCUUCACUUCUUUCUCCCCUAGGACUGAGGCCAGGGAGGAGGGGUGCAGAUUUCUGUGUUUCCACCCUUUUCUCUUCUCCCCGCACAGGGGUGCGAGAGGAGGAAGUGGAUGCUGCAGUGCUGGGCUCUGGGUUCAUUCCCUGUGAUUCCUCUGGGCUGCCCCGAGUCCUGCUCAGCACACACACAACAGGACACCAGGCGUGCUGGACAAAUGACCAGGCAGUGUGGUACUUGAAUGCAAGGGUUUCCUGAAAAGUUACCAUCAAAAACUGGGUCAGGUGGACAAAUGCAGAUGGAGCAUCAGCAGUGAUUUCCUCUGAGACUAAUGACAUGCCCUAAGAUUGUUCAGCACAGAGAGGACUUAAGCCACAGAAGGGAAAAGAAACGUUGAAAUCAGCCAAGGGAAGAAGCACAUAGGGUGGAGUCUAGGAAUAAUUCAAAAUGUGGAGAUCCAGCUGGGCACGGUGGCUCACACCUGUAAUCCCAGCACUUUGGGAGGCAGAGGUUGUGGCCACCCCGCUGCUGGCUAACUGCAGCUACUUCUGCCAGCCAGUGGACUAGAGAUGGAGCAAGCAUGGAAUGAGGGCAUCUUCCUGGAGACAGGUAGGCACUGUGGAAUCAGCAGUGCGUAGAACAGUGAGGAAUUAGGGCUGAACCCAGCCCAGGUGGGACAAGCCCUGGCACCAGCCGACUGCAGUCUGAUGGAACUUCCCCUUCCUGCCCAGCAGAUGGCGAGCGUGUGCUGCUGGUGCCUCUUUCCAAAGGAUGUUGAAUUGUUUGACAGGUGUUCUUUACUUUAUGAAUGAAACCAGAGCAGCCCACCUUCCUGCAUCUCUACCACCAUGGCACCAUGCCCUGUGAAGGGUGAGCUGGAGUCAAAUACGUAGCAGGCAGCCAGGGUCAGUUUGUGGCCACUGCUGCCUCCUCUUCCUAUGGUCUCCUCACUGAGUGCCCCUUCCCUGUUGGGUUCAACAUGUCUAUGCUCCUGUAAGCCCUCAGCCUCCUCGUUCUCUUCCUCAACUUCUACCACCAGACACACCUGAGAGGCAAGCAAGAGAGGCUAAACUAGGAGCAGGACCCAGGGACUGAAACCAGCACAGCAUCCCCACAGAGAAUUGGGUGGAAGGCAGCAUGGCUUCCAGCUUACUGGUGCCGAGCAGAUUCCCCUGGGUCUCCAUUGUAUCCUCUGAAGGAAGGAGGAGGAUUGCCUUCUGUCCAGAUCUCAGGAUCAAACAAAUAGGUCCAACUUCCUGUGCUCACUUCAGUUAGAGCACUUCUCAUGUGACUUUGUAGCUUUGUGUGCAUCUCCUUCCUCUACUAGACCUAAGCCCCUCACUGGAAGGACUCUCUUAUUCUUGAUGUUCCCCACAUCUGGAAUUUCAAUAAACAUCUCAA
rnacentral:sRNA from 1 species